UACGUAGGUGGCAAGCGUUGUCCGGAAUUACUGGGCGUAAAGGGUGCGUAGGCGGUUCGUUAAGUCUGUCGUGAAAUCCCCGGGCUCAACCUGGGAAUGGCGAUGGAUACUGGGCAGCUAGAGUGUGUCAGAGGAUGGUGGAAUUCCCGGUGUAGCGGUGAAAUGCGUAGAGAUCGGGAGGAACAUCAGUGGCGAAGGCGGCCAUCUGGGACAACACUGACGCUGAAGCACGAAAGCGUGGGGAGCAAACAGG
rnacentral:rRNA from 1 species